GGGGGGGGGGGGGUGGGGGGGCGGAGCGCGGCGGAGAGGAGGGUUCGUGCGACGGGGAGCGGUCGGAGGCCGGCGAGGAAGAAGGCCCUCUCCCGGAGCGCACGGGAGAAUCGCGCCUUGACUAGCCUCUUCGCCUCCAUCCCACUGCUGCGCAUGUCGGCGGCGGCGGCGGCAGCAGGUCACGAAGGCAGCGAGGAUGGAGUCGGCGGACGGGGAGGACGGGGAGAAGCGCGGCGGCGGCGCUCGGUGGCGAAGAUGGGCGGCAGCUGGGGGAGAUGGAGCAGCCAUCUUGUGGCUCUGGGCCUCUGGCGUAGACUCACCAUGUGCAUCAGUUUGGUCAUCUUGUUCGUCUUUGUUUGAUGGUGAUGGAUCAUCCCCUUCAAUCAAGUAUCCCUCCUCAUUUGUAGUCUCGUUUAUUGAGUAGCCCCUUUCAGCUGGAUCAGCAGUGCCAAGAUUUGCUAAACCUGACGCUAGGCCUGAAAUAGGAGUAUCAGCAGAUUCCCCUGUAUCCAUAGACAGAAUCUCAUCACCAGUAUCAAACAGGCCUUCUCUAACCAAAGAAGAAUAGAUGUCAUGAGGAUUGGCAUCUGCACUUUGCAAGCUUGCAAAAAGUCCUGUCUGUUCAGAGUUAUCUUCUUGUGCUGAUCUUCCACUCGGUUACAUAUCUCAGACAGUGAAAUUGGAAGCUCUGGGCAUUCCAGCAUACAGAUCAUUUUCUUUGGUUGAGCUCGAAGCGGCGACUAAUGACUUCGAAGUUGAUGGGGAGAGGCGGGGAACGCGGCGGAGACACUGAAGUUGAUGUGGCCCUCCCGGGCGAGGAACCCGUGCGCCGCGGCGACAAGGUUGUCGUAGCUGGCGGCGACGGUCUCCUGCACGCGCGCGUGGGGAAGCGGCACUUGCGUGUCUCCGCCGCCGCCCUCCCCUUCUCCCACGUUGCAGCUGCCACCGCCUCUCCGCCAGCGCGCUCGCCCGCCAACGCCGCCUCGCCCUACCGACGCCCUCCCCUUCUCCCGUGUCUCCGCCACCGCGUCGCCGCCGCCGCCACAUCACCGGCCGGCUGUCGGACCUCCUCGCCUCGGCGACCUCCUCCCCACCACCGGCUGGCCUGCCAGAGAGAAGAGUGAGUGAGAGAGAGAGAGAGAGAGGAGGAAGGGACAGGCCGGCCUGCUGAUGUGGCUUGCUGACGUGGCAUUCUGACAUAUAAGGCCCACACUGACUCAGUCGCCACGUCGGAUCUAGUUUUUACUGGUUUAUAAGUUAGGGGGUGUGUUAUAUCUGGUUUUUCGGUUGGUGGAUGAUUUUGUAACUGGAUGACAAGUUGAGGGACCUUCGGUGUACUUUUUCCUUUCUA